rnacentral:lncRNA from 1 species
UUUGCGAGAGAACAAAAGUCGCAGGGCUUCUCCGAAUGCUCUUCCCCUCCUCUACUCUCUCUCCUCCACUGGUUGCCCACGACGCCGACGCCGACGCUGACGCCUCUGCUCUCUCUCCUCCGCUAGUUGCCUGCGACGCCGAUGCCGAUGCCCUUUCCACCUCCGCUGACGCCUCUGCUCUCCUCCGCCGGUUGCCUGCGACGCCAACGCCCUUUCCAGUGAACCGCGACGCCGACGCCCCUCCGCCGGUUGCCUCCAUCGGCCCCGACUCCGACGCCGACGUUGACACAGCCUCCGCCUCCGCCUCCGCCCCCGACGCCGACGCCCCUCCGCCUCCGCCCCCAGGCGCCUCCCCUUCCUCUCCCCCGUCGCCAACUCCGUCGCAUCUCGCUAUUCCAGGUGAGCGCUGCUUCCGAUUCCUUUCUCUGCUCGCUCGCUCGCUCGCGACCGGCC